rnacentral:rRNA from 1 species
AGUGAACGCUGGCGGUAGGCCUAACACAUGCAAGUCGAACGGCAGCACAGUAAGAGUUUGCUCUUACGGGUGGCGAGUGGCGGACGGGUGAGGAAUACAUCGGAAUCUACUUUUUCGUGGGGGAUAACGUAGGGAAACUUACGCUAAUACCGCAUACGACCUACGGGUGAAAGCAGGGGAUCUUCGGACCUUUCGCGAUUGAAUGAGCCGAUGUCGGAUUAGCUAGGUGGCGUGGUAAAGGCCCACCAAGGCGACGAUCCGUCGCUGGUCUGAGCGGAUGAUCAGCCACACUGGAACUGAGACACGGUCCAGACUCCUACGGGAGGCAGCAGUGGGGAAUAUUGGACAAUGGGCGCAAGCCUGAUCCAGCCAUACCGCGUGGGUGAAGAAGGCCUUCGGGUUGUAAAGCCCUUUUGUUGGGAAAGAAAAGCAGCAGGUUAAUACCCCGCUGUUCUGACGGUACCCAAAGAAUAAGCACCGGCUAACUUCGUG